GUCCCAAGUAGCUUAAAACAAAGCGCUGGUCUUGUAAACCAGCAAUAGACUUUAAAAUCUCUGGGACA
rnacentral:tRNA from 1 species